rnacentral:rRNA from 1 species
GACGAACGCUGGCGGCGUGCCUAAUACAUGCAAGUUGAGCGAUGAAGAUUGGUGCUUGCACCAAUUUGAAGAGCAGCGAACGGGUGAGUAACGCGUGGGGAAUCUGCCUUUGAGCGGGGGACAACAUUUGGAAACGAAUGCUAAUACCGCAUAAUAACUUUAAACAUAAGUUUUAAGUUUGAAAGAUGCAAUUGCAUCACUCAAAGAUGAUCCCGCGUUGUAUUAGCUAGUUGGUGAGGUAAAGGCUCACCAAGGCGAUGAUGCAUAGCCGACCUGAGAGGGUGAUCGGCCACAUUGGGACUGAGACACGGCCCAAACUCCUACGGGAGGCAGCAGUAGGGAAUCUUCGGCAAUGGACGAAAGUCUGACCGAGCAACGCCGCGUGAGUGAAGAAGGUUUUCGGAUCGUAAAACUCUGUUGGUAGAGAAGAACGUUGGUGAGAGUGGAAAGCUCAUCAAGUGACGGUAACUACCCAGAAAGGGACGGCUAACUACGUG